AACGAACGCUGGCGGCAGGCCUAACACAUGCAAGUCGAGCGAAGCCUUCGGGCUUAGCGGCGGACGGGUGAGUAACGCGUGGGAACGUGCCCUUUGCUACGGAAUAGCCCCGGGAAACUGGGAGUAAUACCGUAUGUGCCCUUCGGGGGAAAGAUUUAUCGGCAAAGGAUCGGCCCGCGUUGGAUUAGGUAGUUGGUGGGGUAAUGGCCUACCUAGCCGACGAUCCAUAGCUGGUUUGAGAGGAUGAUCAGCCACACUGGGACUGAGACACGGCCCAGACUCCUACGGGAGGCAGCAGUGGGGAAUCUUAGACAAUGGGGGAAACCCUGAUCUAGCCAUGCCGCGUGAUCGAUGAAGGCCUUAGGGUUGUAAAGAUCAUUCAGUGGGGAAGAUAGUGACUGUACCCACAGAAGAAGCCCCGGCUAACUCCGUGCCAGCCGCCGCGGUAAAAC
rnacentral:rRNA from 1 species